rnacentral:lncRNA from 1 species
AUUUCUCUCUGCUAUCAUGUCAAGGAGGAAAGAUCUGGAUUAAGUGAACUGAUACUCUGUGGUUAAACUAGAAGGCAGCUGAGCUACAAUGGCUUAAUGCUGGCGGCAGAACAAAUUAAUGGAAUUAGUUAACUAUUUAUUAGAUAUUAUUUUCACAUGGUUGCUAGGUUGUCUCAUAUAUCAUAUGCAUGUUAAUUGGUAGGCCAUUGUGUCAGUAGCAGAUAUUUAUAAAUAGUUAAUUAGGGUAGAAUGAUGCACCCUAACUUACAUACAAUCUAGUCCUUAAAACUAUAAAGUUUUGUUAUAUUUUAGUCCUUAAACUAUAAUAGUAUCUAAUAUUUUAGUCCCUCGACGGGGAGACUACUUUUCUAAUUAUGAAAUUCUCUUAAUUAAUCUCUAUAUAUUUACGACUAAAUUUGUGCACAUAAAAGGAUUAAAAGAUUUAUCAAGUUGGCAAGAUAGAAGCUCUCGUUACUAUCCCAGUAGUGACCCCAAUUCUUAGGUCACUGGUCAGUGUAGUUAAAUUGAAAAUUAAACUGAACUAGUGUAAUAUUAAAAGAAUCUCCUUAAAUUCUUUUGUAAGUUUGAG